GCCAGGACAAAGCCCCAGCAGUGACUGAGAUGGGAACAGGAGGAGGGACAGAGGGAUGGGGAAGGCUGCACAAAAGAAUUCCUCACCCCAAGCCCCUUGACCGGCAGCGAGUAAAGGAGCAGAUCGGCUCUCCCUCCCCCUUGCUCCCUUCCAUCUUCCCACCCUGGCUGGGCACAGUCCAUAGAGAAGCUGCAGGCCUUCAGAGAGGACCCACAUAGUCUCCUGUAGGUGGCAACAGUGCCACCUGUUUGACUGGCGGGACUGAGCCCAGGACUGGAAGAGGGAGGAGGCAUACAACUUGGAGAGGAGCUGGGAAAGAAGUGCAGUGCAGAGCGGAGAGCAGAGCAAAGCUGCCGCUGAGAAAAGGCCCUCGCCAUGGCUGAGUCCCCUGGCUGCUGCUCCGUAUGGGCCCGCUGCCUCCACUGCCUGUAUAGCUGCCACUGGAAGAAAUGCCCCAAAGAGAGGAUGCAAACCAGCAAGUGCGACUGUAUCUGGUUUGGUCUGCUCUUCCUCACCUUUCUCCUCUCCCUGGGCUGGCUGUACAUCGGGCUCAUCCUCCUCAAUGACCUGCACAACUUCAAUGAAUUCCUGUUCCAACACUGGGGACACUGGAUGGACUGGUCCCUGGCAUUUCUGCUGGUCAUCUCUCUACUGGUCACAUAUGCAUCCCUGCUACUGCUCCUGGCCCUGCUGCUGUGGCUCCGUGGCCAGCCUCUGCAUCUGCACAGUAUCCACAAGGUGCUACUGCUCCUCAUUAUGCUUCUUGUGGCCACUGGCCUUGUGGGACUGGACAUCCAAUGGCAGCAGGAAUGGCGUAGCUUACAUCUGUCACUGCAGGCCACGGCCCCAUUCCUUCAUAUUGGAGCAGUUGCUGGCAUCACCCUCCUGGCCUGGCCUGUGGCUGAUACCUUCUACCAUAUCCACCAAAGAGGUCCCAAGAUUCUGCUACUAUUCCUAUUUUUUGGAGUUGCCUUGGCCAUCUACCUGGCCCCUCUGUGCAUCUCUUCACCCUGUAUCAUGGAACCCAGAGACUUACCCACCAAGCCUGGGCUGGUGGGACACCGAGGGGCCCCCAUGCUGGCACCCGAGAACACCCUGAUGUCCCUGAGGAAGACAGCUGAAUGUGGAGCUGCUGUGUUUGAGACUGACGUGAUGGUCAGCUCUGACGGGAUCCCCUUCCUUAUGCACGACGAGCACCUCAGCAGGACCACGGAUGUGGCCUCUGUGUUCCCAACCCGUAUCAGUGCCCACAGCAGCGACUUCUCCUGUGCUGAACUGAAGAAGCUCAAUGCCGGGGUUUGGUUCCUAGAGAGGCAACCCUUCUGGGGGGCUAAGCAGCUGUCAGGCCCUGAUCGGAAAGAGGCUGAGAAUCAGACAGUACCAACACUGGAGGAGCUAUUGAAGGAAGCUGCUGUCCUCAACCUUUCCAUCAUGUUUGACUUGCGCCGCCCCCCACGAAACCACACAUACCAUGACACUUUUGUGAACCAGACACUGGACACUGUGCUGAGUGCAAGGGUGCCCCAAGCCAUGGUCCUUUGGCUACCCGAUGAAGACCGGGCUAAUGUCCAACAACGGGCACCCAGAAUGCGCCAGAUAUAUGGACAGCCAAGAGGCAACAGAACUGAGAGGCCCCAGUUUCUCAACCUCCCCUAUCAAGACCUGCCACUGUUGGAUAUUAAGGCACUGCACAAGGAUAAUGUCUCAGUGAACCUAUUCGUAGUGAACAAGCCCUGGCUCUUCUCCCUGCUUUGGUGUGCUGGGGUGGAUUCAGUCACCACCAACGACUGCCAGCUCCUGCAUCAGAUGCAUUACCCUGUCUGGCUCAUUCCCCCUCAAACCUACCUAAUGAUGUGGAUCAUUACCAAUUGUGUCUCUACCCUGCUGCUUUUGUGGACCUUCCUCCUCCAAGGAUUCUUAGACCCUUCCUUAUACACCAAGUUGGCUUGAACCUGGGAAAAGGAAGUUUGGGGGAACCUGGGGUCAAAAGGUUGUGCAUGAAGCUGGCUGAACUCACAAUGGGAAGCUUUUCUCCCAAUAGGAGAUGUGCUAAGGAGAGAGAGAGAACUGGCUUUGAAACAGCAGUGCUGCUGACCAGGAUCAACAACUUCAUAAUGGAGUGAGUGCUCUUCCCUGGAUCCCCACCAGGCAGAGUCUGGGGCUGUCUGCACUGGACAACAGCAAGGAAGGGAGAGUGACCAAGGCAGACUGUUGGUGGGGUUGAGGUGGGGUAAACUUUACCGAUUAGAGGUUCUGAACUUUAAGGACCCACUGUCCAGAUAGUGGGUAUGCUCCAAGUUUCCAUGGAAUCUACUCCCCUUGAGCUUUUUGACCUGAGGUGGUUGGGAAGACAGUGAAUCAUGAGAAGUUUCUCCCCAAAUGAAACUGGAACAGAGGAAGUGAAAAGGAGAUUGCCAAGAUGAUGUUUCAGACCUGUAUGCACGUGUUCCUGCGUAGAAGGAACAGUGUCUGAGGAACUGAAGGAAAUGACAAAAGGCCUUUCCUAGAGAACUUUAAGAUGAUGGAGACACCAACCCACUCCAUUAACUGUCUCCCCUGACACCUGCAAUUUAGCUGCUUUCUUGCCCAGAUGCUGGGGGCUAAAGAGCCCAUCUAGCUAGGGAAUUCUGUGCCUACAGGUGGCUUUUUGCUGUGCACAGCCUUUUCUUCAAAACAGGUUGGUUCAUGUAUCUUGCCUGUUAAUCUGUUAUUCAAUGAAUUUAAUUCCUAUC